AAGAUUACCCUCCUACUCCGCCGCCAUUACGUGACCCUAACGUCUGGCGAUCUUCAAAGCUUCCUUCUUCGCAUAUCAGCCUUGGGAAACGCUUCGUCCAUGCCACCAGCCAUGAAAGACGUGUGUGCGUGUUACUCACUGCCUUGCUAUCUAAUAUUUUCUCGUAUGACGUGUGGGUGGCCAGACAAGAGAGAGAACACUACUUAGAGCACCACAGACACUAACACUGGGCCCACUGUCACCUAUACGUGCCCAACUGACUCUCUUGUGGGGAACUCAACAAGAGCCUGCCUGAAAAGUGGCUUGUGGAGCGAGUCUGCGUCCACUUGCAGAUUGGUGACCUGCGCAAAGCCUACACUUCCUGCUGAUGGUUACGUUACAGCCUAUAGUUUUGACGUGAGGGCGGACGUGAUCUACCACUGCAAUGAAGGAUACCGGCUGGAAACAGGUCACGAUGGCUCGCCACAACCUUCCAGUGGGCAUGAGAGGACGAGAUCUGUGAAAAGGACGUGUCAAAUCGCAGGACUUUAGUCAGGGAAUGUGCCCUCGUGUGCUUACACAGAUUGCAGCCACGUUGCUGCCCCCUGAAGGGUAGUCGUGACUAUCUAAAUGGUACCACCUAUUUGGAUAGUCAAGUGAACUGUUCCUGUACUACUAACUAUCAGAUAGUCGGCCAGCAGAUCAGAGUGUGCCAGGAGGAUAGUCAGUGGAGUGGAGAGGCACCACUGUGUCAAGAAAUCCGGUGCGGGCCGCCUUCAGAAAAACAUGGAGGUGCCAAAGUUCUGGGGAUUUCUGGCAGUGACCGGCACCUCACCUCCACAUUUGCAGUGAGGGAAGAGGGAGAGAGAAAUGUGACAGGAUGAAGGACUGGACUAUCGAGCAGUGGCGUGGCGUGCUGUGGAGCGACGAGUCAAGAUUCAUAGUGACAGCCAGCAGUCAAGGUCGCGUGUACCGGCGCCCAGGCAGCGAUCCCCUUGACCCCCGCUACACUGCUCCUGCCGUCAGGUUCCCUGAUUCGUUGAUGAAGCACAACUACUACUACUGCUACUACUACUACUACUACUACUACUACUACUACUACUACUACUACUACUACAACUACUACUACUACUACUACUACUACUACUACUACAAUAAACUUAAGAUAAACGUGUGUGUGUGUGUGUGUGUGUGUGUGUGUGUGUGUGUGUGUGUGUGUGUGUGUGUGUGUGUGUGUACCUUUCCUCCACACACACACACACACAC